rnacentral:rRNA from 1 species
CCCUUAGAUGUUCUGGGCCGCACGCGCGCUACACUGAUGCAUUCAACGAGCCUAUCCUUGACCGACAGGUCCGGGUAAUCUUUGAAUCUGCAUCGUGACGGGGAUAGAUUAUUGCAAUUAUUAAUCUUCAACGAGGAAUGCCUAGUAGGCGCAAGUCAUCAGCUUACGUCGAUUACGUCCCUGCCCUUUGUACACACCGCCCGUCGCUCCUACCGAUUGGGUGUGCUGGUGAAAUGUUCGGAUCGGCCGUUUGUCGCGGUUUCCGCGGCUCGUGGCUGAGAAGUUCAUUAAACCCUCCCACCUAGAGGAAGGAGAAGUCGUAACA